rnacentral:lncRNA from 10 species
CUUCAGAAGGUAUAUGGGUAAAUACUACUUCCCUGGGAAUAGAACCAUUAGCUUUGAAAGCUGGAAGGGAAAUAACGACCUAAAUAUUUCUCUCUCAAUUUAUAGAUGAACAAAGAAGGGCAGAAAGAGAACCACAAUCCUACACACAGGAGAUUUUGAAGUUUCACAAGACAGAAUCUACAUAUAAGAAUGGAUUUAACCCAGAAAUUAUUGCCUGUUAAGAAGCACCCCGCAACAACAAAAAAAGAAAACCAUAAACAAACAAUCAAAAACAAACUUAAACUACAGACCAAGUAAUGGUUUUCUAACACAAAAGAAGACAUGAAUGAAUUCUGAAUCGUCAGCAAUAUUAUGCGUGUGUGAGUUUGGGAUCCACAGAAGCAGAUUCUGAGACGAAGAUUAGUGUGCAAGUGAGCCUAAAGAGUGGAGAAAUGAGGAAAGGAAAUGAGACGGAACCAACCAGUGGUAAAACCCCAUCCACAGCCUGAUCACAUAGGAAACCUCUGCUUUUAAAGCAGAAGAGCUGAGCUUUCAUAACCCAGCGCCAGUCAGUCAUUGAUUGGCUGAGGACCUUGGGCAGGCGGACUACUCAUGACUUUGGGUAGAGUGGCUUUCUAACACCAAGAGGCAUCACUGCAAGGACAUCACAGGAAGAGGACACUGGAAACAAAACAUGUUGGGGUGAAACUAAGGGUUCAUGAAAAUGGAAAAAGUGAUCUUAGGGAAUCCAGAUGCAUAACAAUAGCUAUAAUGGCUACUACUGUGGGUUAUAUUUUUGAUAAUCUCUCGAAUCAUUUCUUGUUGAGAUAAAACGUGGCAAUUAUGGACCAUUGCAUGACAGUUUUUGAGAUGUCUGUUCAGAAAUUCCAAGGCAAUGAACUCCUAUUUGUGUCAUCUAAUAACUCUACUCAUUUUUGGUUUGGCUUUUAUUUUGCUUUCAUUAAUUACAAUGUAUAAGGAGUAAAUGAAAUAUGUGUGUACCAUUUUUAAGAUAAUAAACAAAAUGCUCGUGUGCCCACAACU